NNUCAAUGAGGAUAAAACCAAAAAGGCUUGUUUCUCAAAACAUUCGCAGUUGCCGCCUAAAGUUUUCGCCUUUCGCCGGGCUUGAGAGCUAAUGCUGCUUCUUUUCCUUCCUUGGAUGUCUGAGAUC
rfam:Arabis alpina cultivar Pajares chromosome 6, whole genome shotgun sequence.